rnacentral:rRNA from 1 species
GCAAGUCGAACGAUUCUAUCAUGAAUUGCUUGCAAGGAUUGUUAGAAGAGUGGCGGACGGGUGAGUAACGCGUGAGAACCUGUCCCGAAGCGGGGGACAACAGUUGGAAACGGCUGCUAAUACCCCAUAUGCCUACGGGUAAAAGAUUGAUCACUUUGGGAGGGGCUCGCGUUCUAUCAGCUAGUUGGUGGGGUAAAGGCCUACCAAGGCGAAGACGGAUAGCCGGCCUGAGAGGGCGAAC